rnacentral:rRNA from 1 species
GUGAGGAAUAUUGGACAAUGGGCGCAAGCCUGAUCCAGCCAUGCCGCGUGCAGGAAGACGCAUCUAUGGUGUGUAAACUGCUUUUGUACGGGAAGAAACACUCCCUCGUGAGGGAGCUUGACGGUACCGUAAGAAUAAGGAUCGGCUAACUCCGUGCCAGCAGCCGCGGUAAUACGGAGGAUCCAAGCGUUAUCCGGAAUCAUUGGGUUUAAAGGGUCCGUAGGCGGUUUAAUAAGUCAGUGGUGAAAGCCCAUCGCUCAACGAUGGAACGGCCAUUGAUACUGUUAGACUUGAAUUACAAGGAAGUAACUAGAAUAUGUAGUGUAGCGGUGAAAUGCUUAGAUAUUACAUGGAAUACCAAUUGCGAAGGCAGGUACUACUUGUGGAUUGACGCUGAUGGACGAAAGCGUGGGGAGCGAACAGGAUUAGAUACCCUGGUAGUCC